ACUUCGGUGGGGAUUAGUGGCGAACGGGUGAGUAACACGUGGGCAAUCUGCCCUUCACUCUGGGACAAGCCCUGGAAACGGGGUCUAAUACCGGAUACCACUACCGCAGGCAUCUGUGGUGGUUGAAAGCUCCGGCGGUGAAGGAUGAGCCCGCGGCCUAUCAGCUUGUUGGUGAGGUAAUGGCUCACCAAGGCGACGACGGGUAGCCGGCCUGAGAGGGCGACCGGCCACACUGGGACUGAGACACGGCCCAGACUCCUACGGGAGGCAGCAGUGGGGAAUAUUGCACAAUGGGCGAAAGCCUGAUGCAGCGACGCCGCGUGAGGGAUGACGGCCUUCGGGUUGUAAACCUCUUUCAGCAGGGAAGAAGCGAAAGUGACGGUACCUGCAGAAGAAKCGCCKKYUAACUACGUGCCAGCAGCCGCGGUAAUACGUAGGGCGCAAGCGUUGUCCGGAAUUAUUGGUGCGUAAAGAGCUCGUAGGCGGCUUGUCACGUCGGGUGUGAAAGCCCAGGGCUUAACCCCGGGUCUGCAUUCGAUACGGGCUAGCUAGAGUGUGGUAGGGGAGAUCGGAAUUCCUGGUGUAGCGGUGAAAUGCGCAGAUAUCAGAGGAACACCGGUGGCGAAAGCGGAUCUCUGGGCCAUUACUGACGCUGAGGAGCGAAAGCGUGGGGAGCGAACAGGAUUAGAUACCCUGGUAGUCCACGCCGUAAACGGUGGGAACUAGUGUUGGCGACAUUCCACGUCGUCGUGCCGCAGCUAACGCAUUAAGUUCCCCCGCCUGGGGAGU
rnacentral:rRNA from 1 species